rnacentral:rRNA from 1 species
AGUCGCCGCGGGAAUACGGAGGAUCCAAGCGUUAUCCGGAAUCAUUGGGUUUAAAGGGUCCGUAGGCGGUCUUGUAAGUCAGUGGUGAAAGCCCAUCGCUCAACGGUGGAACGGCCAUUGAUACUGCAGGACUUGAAUUAUUGGGAAGUAACUAGAAUAUGUAGUGUAGCGGUGAAAUGCUUAGAGAUUACAUGGAAUACCAAUUGCGAAGGCAGGUUACUACCAAUUGAUUGACGCUGAUGGACGAAAGCGUGGGUAGCGAACAGGAUUAGAUACCCCUGUAGUCCCUGUCUCUUAUACA